rnacentral:lncRNA from 1 species
AUGGAUGUGCAGCCAUCAUGGUCUAUGGACUGCCUAAUUUUUCCUGUAAAAACAGAAAGCUUUCUACGGCUGGGAGCUUGUAAAAACAAGCCCGAAGCUACCCGAAUUUUUAGCUUUGCACUACAAACGAGAAACUCAAUUCUCCGCUGCAGAACAUGUAUGCACCUACACACGCUCGAGCGUUUGACAAUGAGACUCAUUCAUGCAGAAGAAGACCCUUUCCAGGUGAACGUCCCCUUGUCCCGGCGCCACACGCCUCCGGGGAGCGGCCGGGGGACGCGGGGAGAGGGGCCGCGCUGCCGGGAGCGCCGGGGAGGGCGAGCAGCGAGGGCAAGGGCAGCCGCCGGGCUCCGAACGAAAGCUGCGGCCGGCACAACGGCUCCGCCAAGGAAACCGCCUCCCCCGGCCGGGACCCGGCCCCUGGGCCAGGUGCCGCCGCCGGGGGCUCGGCAGGCCGGGGCCGAGCGGGCAGCGGCGGAGCGGGGCUCAUCCCGCCGCGCGUCCCGCUGCGCUCCCGGGGCCGCGCUCCGCAGCGCCGGGCGCGGGACCGGGAGGCGCCGUGCCCUCGUUUUACGCGGUUGGUGCGGGAGUAAAGAGUCAGCGAUCUUAAGGGCUUUGGGAGAAGAACAAGGGGAAAAAAAGAAAAAAGAAAAAAAAAAAGAAAAAAGAAAAAAGGGAAAGGGAAGAAGGCAGAAAUGCUUGCGACGGUGUCACGGUAACUCCCCUUUCCCGGAUGCUCCGGCAGCAGCCGCGCCGAGGAAGCGGCCGGCUCCCGGGGCUCGGGGCUGGGGCCCACCCGCGGCCGGGCCCCCGCCACGGGAGCCCGGUGAGCCCGGCCGAGCCCCGCUACUGCCGCCGCGGCGGUGCCGAAAGGGGCCGGGGCUCGGGGCUGGGGCUCGGGGCUGCGCGGAAACGGAGCCCAGCGGGCGGCAGGAGGGGCCCUGCCCCGGGACCCGCUCGGGGGAGUUCCCCGCCGGAGGCUCGCUUGCUCUCCAGGAGGGAAGGAAAAAAAAAAUAGAAAAGAAAGAAACUGUUCGGGACACAGUCUGCCACGUUUCCGACCCAACCAACCUCAAACCUUCCAGGUAG